rnacentral:rRNA from 1 species
CCUUUGACGUUAGCGGCGGACGGGUGAGUAACACGUGGGUAACCUACCUAUAAGACUGGGAUAACUUCGGGAAACCGGAGCUAAUACCGGAUAAUAUUUCGAACCGCAUGGUUCGAUAGUGAAAGGUGGUUUUGCUAUCACUUAUAGAUGGACCCGCGCCGUAUUAGCUAGUUGGUAAGGUAACGGCUUACCAAGGCGACGAUACGUAGCCGACCUGAGAGGGUGAUCGGCCACACUGGAACUGAGACACGGUCCAGACUCCUACGGGAGGCAGCAGUA